rnacentral:lncRNA from 1 species
UUGUUUCUUGGCCGCAAGCAGCAGCAUACUUAAAUCGCGUUGGGCCAUUUGCCCAGGCUGCCGCAAGGACGACAAGCCAGGCUAAUGCAGCUGGUGUCCAUGACGGGUUCAUUACGUGCUGAAUAUGAAAGAUUGCUACAAAGACUCUGGCCCUGACGAACGUAAAAUGUGAUGUUCGUAAGGAAGAAAACAGACGCAUAUCCAAGGCAUGGAGCUGUUUGUAGGGAAACCGUAAAUGAAGGUUUAAGGAACUGAACGAUGAAUUCUGCCGGUGUGGUCGGUUCUGGAUCUCUUAUGUUGCUCGUCACGCUCGUACGGAAAAUGGGCAUUUGUUGCAGGAGGGAGUCUGUGUGUCAAGUCGUAGUCGAACCUUUUUCAAAGGGGAUGAGCACACACACAGCUUGCAUUCCAUGUUCACUAACGUCAGCCCACAGUAAGCUACUGGGCUAGACUUGGAGGGUCCGACCGGGGCAACUCGUUGCUGUGGACUUGUAGGCAAGUCAAGUAGGGCUAUGGAAUGCUAGGACAAUGUUAUUAUGUUUGUGUUAUAGGCUUGGGUAGGAAUUCUUAAGCAAUACGUUGAGUGGCUUUUCCGCCGGCGGGAGGACGACAAUCCCAUGCAAACAGGACGGAUGUUCCGAAUGUUGCUUACAUUCAUGUUGUCGAAGCUCGCGACGACAGCUCUGGACAGGACGGAUGUCAAGUGUGCGUUGGUAAACGUGAUGGCAACGUAGUGAAGGACACGGACGCGCAUGCACAGGCCAUGGAAUGGUAUGUCUAAAUCAUGGAUGGCGACGUUCAACUCUCAGAAUGGUGAUUUCUGCCUUUGGGUUCAAUUCUGAACCUGGAAUGCUGCUGGCUCUGCCCGUACCGGAAAAGUGCUUUCCGGUACGGCGGUGUCAGGAGGUGGUAUCUACGUCGUCUUAGGGGCAACCCUAAGACUAAGGGGAUGAACGAAUAGAGAUAUACUUAGGGUUUCUUGGCUGCAGCAAGUGUUGUCCUGGGCGCGACGUUGAUGGCCUGAUGCCGACGCGACCUCCUUUACGACAAUGCUAGGCAAACGCAGCGGAUGUUCAUGAAUUACUUAAGCGUUCAUAUUACUCGUCACAGCUUCAACGGCACUGUACUGGGCGGAUGUAAGACGUGCGUUGGUGGACGCGAUGGCCUUACGAAGGGGGAGAAAGACGCUUAGGAGAUGCUUGGAUUGUUAUGUACAAGUCACAGACGGGGACGUUUAACUCUAUGAAUGCUGAGUUUUAGCUACUAGUCGGGUUUUUUGAACUUCGCUGUUGUUGGUUCCGCCCGUACAGGAAAAGUGUCUUCUGAUACGGCGGUCACAGCAGGUAGUAUCCGCGUCGACUUGUAUGCAAACCAAAUACAACGAAACCAGGGGAUGAUAUGACAGUUUUGGAAUGCUUGUUUGUUGGCCGCAAGCAGCAGCAUACUUAAAUCGCGUAGGGCCAUUUGCCCAGGCUGCCGCAAGGACGACAAGCCAGGCUAAUGCAGCUGGUGUCCAUGAAGGGUUCAUUGCGUGCUGAAUAUGAAAGAUUGCCACAAAGACUCUUGCCCUGACGGAUGUGCAUUGUAAGGAAGGAAACGGAUGAAGAGUUAGCUCCGCGGUGCAUGGAACGCUAAGUAAGGAUGAUGGACUGUAAGCGUUAAUAUUCGGAGCAGGGAUUUCUGUCUUUUCGCUCGGUUCUGAAAGUCUAACGUCGAUUGCGCAUCCCGUUUGUUCGGGGAACGUACUUAGAUCUGAUACGGCUCACCCGAUUGGCAAUAAUGCUUUCUAUGCUUGCAUAACCAUUUUGUAAACACAGACCAUUAUGCCAAAUCUUUGCUGUAAUGCCUCUGGCCCAGAUGACAUUGCAUGUGCAACAUGUCAAAUAAACUCUGCUGCCCUUCUGCAGUGCACUUCAAUCCUAUAUUUGUACAUAAUAUUCGUGUAAUAUGAAAGGUGACUUCUUGCCAGCAGGGUAAUGAUCGGAGACCUACUUAUGGCAUCCCAUGGAUUAUGCGGCAUGUAUCCGCAUCAUUUGUUCUGUGUAAUAGAAUUAUUUUAAAAGAAAAAUCUCGAAGAGCUAUCCUGUUGGUAUUUCAUGGCUGGACUUCCAGUGCUCCAUCCGUACCCAGUGCGGGGCCCGCCCGUCGCCUGCGUAGCUUCGCAAAAUUUCGC